rnacentral:tRNA from 1 species
GCGGGUGUAGUUCAGUGGUAGAAUAGAAGCUUCCCAAGCUUCGGAUACGGGUUCGAUUCCCGUCACCCGCUCCA